UACGGGGGGGGCAAGCGUUGUUCGGAAUUACUGGGCGUAAAGGGCUCGUAGGUGGCCAAUUAAGUCAGGCGUGAAAUCCCCAGGCUCAACUUGGGAACUGCGUCUGAUACUGGCUGGCUUGAAUUCGGGAGAGGGAUGCAGAAUUCCAGGUGUAGCGGUGAAAUGCGUAGAUAUCGUAAGGAAGGCCGGUGGCGAAAGCGAGCCUCUGGACAGUUACUGACGCUGAUGCACGAAGGCCAGGGGAGCAAACGGG
rnacentral:rRNA from 1 species